rnacentral:rRNA from 1 species
CAAGCGGCGGAGCAUGCGGAUUAAUUCGAUGCAACGCGAAGAACCUUACCAAGGCUUGACAUACACCGGUAACGCCCAGAGAUGGGUGCCCCUUUGUGGUCGGUGGACAGGUGGUGCAUGGUUGUCGUCAGCUCGUGUCGUGAGAUGUUGGGUUAAGUCCCGCAACGAGCGCAACCCUCGUCCUAUGUUGCCAGCGGGUCAUGCCGGGGACUCAUGGGAGACUGCCGGGGUCAACUCGGAGGAAGGUGGGAUGACGUCAAAUCAUCAUGCCCCUUAUGUCUUGGGCUUCACGCAUGCUACAAUGGCCGGUACAAAGGGCUGCGAUACCGCGAGGUGGAGCGAAUCCCAGAAAGCCGGUCUCAGUUCGGAUUGGGGUCUGCAACUCGACCCCAUGAAGUCGGAGUCGCUAGUAAUCGCAGAUCAGCAACGCUGCGGUGAAUACGUUCCCGGGCCUU